rnacentral:tRNA from 1 species
UUAAUUGAAACCAAAAUAGAGGUUUAUUACUGUUAAUAAUAAAAUUGAAAAUUAUCCAAUUAAA